AGCGAACGCUGGCGGCAGGCUUAACACAUGCAAGUCGAACGGGCGUAGCAAUACGUCAGUGGCAGACGGGUGAGUAACGCGUGGGAACGUACCUUUUGGUUCGGAACAACACAGGGAAACUUGUGCUAAUACCGGAUAAGCCCUUACGGGGAAAGAUUUAUCGCCGAAAGAUCGGCCCGCGUCUGAUUAGCUUGUUGGUGAGGUAAUGGCUCACCAAGGCGACGAUCAGUAGCUGGUCUGAGAGGAUGAUCAGCCACAUUGGGACUGAGACACGGCCCAAACUCCUACGGGAGGCAGCAGUGGGGAAUAUUGGACAAUGGGCGCAAGCCUGACCCAGCCAUGCCGCGUGAGUGAUGAAGGCCCUAGGGUUGUAAAGCUCUUUUGUGCGGGAAGAUAAUGACGGUACCGCAAGAAUAAGCCCCGGC
rnacentral:rRNA from 1 species